UCUAGUGAAUGAACACAGCCUCUCCACCAUU
rnacentral:piRNA from 1 species